CAGGUGAGUGACAUCAGUUUUUUAAAUAUCUUGUUAAAGUGUUUAAUAUAUCGAUCAACCUCGAGGACCAGCGAAGAGCUCUAGAGGUCUCAUGAACUUCAUCCAAAGAGUCAACAUGUCUGACUGUGAGGACUUUACAGGGAGCGGUUUGACUUCGGUGCAAAUGUUGAUCUCUCUCUGCAGUCUAAGGUCCUUACUCAGCCCAGAACUGUGGGAGAGGACCUGCAGAGAGCUGAUCCAGAGGUUGCAGCAGGAUGCAGGUACGUCCUGAGUCUGAACACCUUGCUGAGCCUGGAAGUGGCGCUGGAGUAGACCAGGAAGGAUCCCUCCUCUGUGCUGAAGUAUUCCCAGUCUCUACAGCCAAAAGUGGGCAGACUGUGGACUGGGACGAAGCCUUCGUAGCCCUGCCACCUGAAACAAAAUCACAGUCAGAGUGGACCAACAGCUACGGGUACACGACCUGAGACGGGAGUACACACCUGUAGACCACGCUGUUCAGAGAGUACGAGCUGCCGUCAUGAGAGUUCGCUACGACCAGGAACUUCUCAUCCCCGAUGGUGAAGAACUCCCAGUCUACCGCGCUGAACACAACCACGCACGGAUUAUUUAUAAACCAGUACAUCACAAAUCAAGAUUUAUAACCCUGGUGUAAUGACUCAGACUGUUACCUGUGUGUGAGGAUGUCCUGGAAGCGGAUGAAGGUCUGAGUGAGCGUGUUGAGCUCGUACACGGUGGAGUUGAUGCUGUAGAGACUCGGGCCUCGGCCUGAGAUCAUCUGACUAUUUGCAACCGCCAGAAAGAACCGGCCAUCGAUCUGAAAAGUCUCCCAGUCCGUCGCUCCAAUCGUCUGCACAGAGGAAGCUCAGCGUGAGAGGACAAAGAGGAGCACCUGAAGGCUUCACUGAUUUAUACUUUAACCUCUCAGGAUAUCAGAGACAGCAGGUUGUUUUUCACUCCAGGUGUAAUGACUGCUGCAGCCUCCGUAGGGCACCAGCAGGGCUUUAUGGCCUGUCAUCCACCUGUGUCUGAGAUCAAUUUGCAGCUCUAUUAAAGGUGUAAACAGAGUGCUGCUGUUUAACGUCCUCACACUGAUUCUGACAGAAGUUGAAUUAAAGGUUCAGAAAGCUUUAAGACAUUUCUCUGAGGUUUUAAAAUCCAAUAAAAGUCUUCAAAGAUGA